UACGUAGGGUGCGAGCGUUAAUCGGAAUUACUGGGCGUAAAGCGUGCGCAGGCGGUUUGUUAAGUCUGAUGUGAAAGCCCCGGGCUCAACCUGGGAACUGCAUUGGAAACUGGCAAGCUCGAGUAUGGCAGAGGGGGGUGGAAUUCCGCGUGUAGCAGUGAAAUGCGUAGAGAUGCGGAGGAACACCGAUGGCGAAGGCAGCCCCCUGGGCCAAUACUGACGCUCAGGCGCGAAAGCUAGGGGAGCAAACAGG
rnacentral:rRNA from 1 species